rnacentral:rRNA from 1 species
GACGAACGCUGGCGGCGUGCUUAACACAUGCAAGUCGAACGGAAAGACCCGACUUUUGUUUGUUUCUUGAUUGGCGAACGGGUGAGUAACACGUGAGUAACCUGUCCUUGUCUUUGUGAUAACUUCAGGAAACUGGGGCUCUUAUCCCAGAUGAUCUCCUGCUCCAUGUGGUUGAUAGGUAAGAGUCGGCGGUGGUGUAUGUUCUCGCAGGUUAUGAGCUUGUUUGGGGGGUAGGUGCUUACCAAGGCUUUGACGGCUAGGCGGCAUGGGAGCGUGAACAGGCACAUUGGGACUGAGAUACGGAGCAGAAUCGUACGGGACGCAGUAGUGGGGAGUCUUGCAGAGUGGGGGGACGUGUGAUGUAGAGGUGCUGCGUGCGGGAUGCCGGCUUUUGGGUUGUAAACAGAUUUCGAAGGUGCCGAAGAGUGCGUGACGGUACUGGGUCAAGAAGCAACGGCUAACUACGUG